rnacentral:rRNA from 1 species
AGGGCAUUUGGUGGAUGCCUUGGCACUGAGAGGCGAUGAAGGACGUAGCACGUUGCGAUAAGCCGCGGGGAGGCGCGAGCAGCCUUUGAUCCGUGGAUCUCCGAAUGGGGAAACCCGGCCGCAAGGUCAUCCCAAUCUGAACACAUAGGGUUGGGAAGCGAACCCAGGGAACUGAAACAUCUCAGUACCUGGAGGAAAGGACAUCAACCGAGACUCCGCGAGUAGUGGCGAGCGAAAGCGGACCAGGCCAGUAGCUGCGAUGUUGGAACCAGAACCGUCUGGAAAGGCGGGCCUGAGUGGGUGAUAGCCCCGUAUGGGUAAUCAGCGUCGUAGUUCUUGAGUAAGGCGGGACACGAGCAAUCCUGUCUGAAGAUGGGGGGACCACCCUCCAAGCCUAAGUACUCCUCAGUGACCGAUAGUGGACAAGUACCGUGAGGGAAAGGUGAAAAGCACCCCGAUGAGGGGAGUGAAAUAGAACCUGAAACCGAAUGCCUACAAGCAGUGGAAGCCUCCUUGAGGGGUGACCGCGUACCUCUUGUAUAAUGGGUCAGCGACUUAGUCUUACGAGCAAGCUUAAGCCGGUAGGUGGAGGCGUAGCGAAAGCGAGUCUGAAUAGGGCGUUUGAGUUCGUAGGAUUAGACCCGAAACCGGGUGAUCUAGCCAUGGACAGGCUGAAGGUCGGGUAACACCGGCUGGAGGGCCGAACCAAUUACCGUUGAAAAGGUACUGGAUGAUCUGUGGCUAGGGGUGAAAGGCCAAUCAAACUCGGAAAUAGCUGGUUCUCCGCGAAAUCUAUUUAGGUAGAGCGUCAGGCGUUCACCGAUGGGGGUAGAGCACUGGAUGGGCUAGGGGGGAGCGAUCCUUACCAAACCUAACCAAACUCCGAAUACCGUCGGGUCAGAGCCUGGCAGACAGACUACGGGUGCUAAGGUCCGUGGUCGAGAGGGGAAGAGCCCAGACCACCAGCUAAGGUCCCCAAGUUAUGGCUAAGUGGGAAAGGAAGUGGGAAGGCCAAGACAACCAGGAGGUUGGCUUAGAAGCAGCCAUCCUUUAAAGAAAGCGUAAUAGCUCACUGGUCUAGACAAGCCGUCCUGCGCCGAAAAUGUAUCGGGGCUAAAGCCAUACACCGAAGCUGUGGAUUCAGAGAUCAGAAGUCAGAUGCCAGAUGACAGGAAAAGCGGCGAUACCGUUUGAGCGUCUGGAAGUAUUCCAGCGCGCUUAUCGGAUCUCGCUGGAGAUUCACAAAAUGAGUCUCACGUUUCCUGACAUUGAGCGAUAUGCCCUUGCCGAUCAGAUACGGCGCGCAUCCAAAUCGGUAUGCGCAAAUCUGGCGGAAGGGUUUGCCAAGCAAUCGUUGUCGCCGGCGGAGUUCCGGCGGUUCAUCGGAAUGGCCUUGGGAUCAGCGGAUGAGAUGCGGCUAUGGAGCCGCUAUUGUCUGGAUCUCGGGUAUAUCGAUGAAGCUUGCUGGCAAGUCUGGCGAGACGAGUAUCAGGAAGUAGCCAAGAUGCUUCAGGGACUGCUGCGCAAAUCGCGGGCGCGUCUCUGACAUCUGACAUCUGUCUUCUGAUCUCUGAGUAGUAGCGGAGCGUUCCGUAAGCCUGUGAAGGUGGAUCGUGAGGUCUGCUGGAGGCACCGGAAGUGAGAAUGCUGACAUGAGUAGCGAUAAACAGAGUGAGAAACUCUGUCGCCGAAAGCCCAAGGGUUCCUGCGCAAGGUUAAUCCGCGCAGGGUGAGCCGGCCCCUAAGACGAGGGCGAGAGCCGUAGUCGAUGGGAACCUGGUUAAUAUUCCAGGGCCUGCUGGACGUGACGAAUUCCGUAAGUUGUCUCGGUUUAUUGGAUUACCGGGGCAGCGAAGGGGUUCCAGGAAACAACGCCAGCGUAUAGACCGUACCCGAAACCGACACAGGUGGGCUGGUAGAGCAUACCAAGGCGCUUGAGAGAAUGGUGUUGAAGGAACUCGGCAAAUUGCCCUCGUAACUUCGGAAGAAGAGGGCCCUGUUCCUGGGCAACCAGGGAUGGGGGGCACAGAGCAGGGGGUGGCGACUGUUUAACAAAAACACAGGGCUCUGCGAAGUCUGUAAGACGACGUAUAGGGUCUGACGCCUGCCCGGUGCCGGAAGGUUAAGAGGAGGAGUGCAAGCUCUGAAUCGAAGCCCCGGUAAACGGCGGCCGUAACUAUAACGGUCCUAAGGUAGCGAAAUUCCUUGUCGGGUAAGUUCCGACCUGCACGAAUGGCGUAACGACUUCCCCGCUGUCUCCAGCACCAACUCAGCGAAAUUGAAUUCUCCGUGAAGAUGCGGAGUACCCGCGGUUAGACGGAAAGACCCCGUGCACCUUUACUAUAGCUUUGCAGUGGCAUUAGGGAAUGGAUGUGUAGGAUAGGUGGGAGGCUAUGAAGCUCGGGCGCCAGCUCGGGUGGAGCCACCGUUGAAAUACCACCCUUUUGUUCUCUGAUGUCUAACCGCGCCCCGUGAUCCGGGGCCGGGACCCUGCAUGGCGGGUAGUUUGACUGGGGCGGUCGCCUCCCAAAGAGUAACGGAGGCGCGCGAUGGUAGGCUCAAGCUGGUCGGAAAUCAGCUGUCGAGUGCAAUGGCAUAAGCCUGCCUGACUGCGAGACUGACAAGUCGAGCAGAGACGAAAGUCGGUCAUAGUGAUCCGGUGGUUCCACGUGGAAGGGCCAUCGCUCAACGGAUAAAAGGUACGCCGGGGAUAACAGGCUGAUGACUCCCAAGAGUCCAUAUCGACGGAGUCGUUUGGCACCUCGAUGUCGGCUCAUCACAUCCUGGGGCUGGAGCAGGUCCCAAGGGUAUGGCUGUUCGCCAUUUAAAGUGGUACGUGAGCUGGGUUCAGAACGUCGUGAGACAGUUCGGUCCCUAUCUGCCGUGGGUGUCGGAGUAUUGAGAGGAUUUGUCCCUAGUACGAGAGGACCGGGAUGAACGCACCUCUGGUGUACCGGUUGUCGCGCCAGCGGCACCGCCGGGUAGCUAUGUGCGGACGGGAUAACCGCUGAACGCAUCUAAGCGGGAAACCCACCUCGAAACCAGUACUCCCUAUGAGAGCCGUGAUAGACCAUCACGUCGAUAGGCCGGAUGUGGACGCGCAGCAAUGCGUUAAGCUAACCGGUACUAAUCGCUCCAUCGGCUUGAUC